rnacentral:rRNA from 1 species
GAUGAACGCUGGCGGCGUGCCUAAUACAUGCAAGUCGAGCGAACAGACGAGGAGCUUGCUCCUCUGACGUUAGCGGCGGACGGGUGAGUAACACGUGGAUAACCUACCUAUAAGACUGGGAUAACUUCGGGAAACCGGAGCUAAUACCGGAUAAUAUAUUGAACCGCAUGGUUCAAUAGUGAAAGACGGUUUUGCUGUCACUUAUAGAUGGAUCCGCGCCGCAUUAGCUAGUUGGUAAGGUAACGGCUUACCAAGGCAACGAUGCGUAGCCGACCUGAGAGAGUGAUCGGCCACACUGGAACUGAGACACGGUCCAGACUCCUACGGGAGGCAGCAGUAGGGAAUCUUCCGCAAUGGGCGAAAGCCUGACGGAGCAACGCCGCGUGAGUGAUGAAGGUCUUCGGAUCGUAAAACUCUGUUAUUAGGGAAGAACAAAUGUGUAAGUAACUAUGCACGUCUUGACGGUACCUAAUCAGAAAGCAACGGCUAACUACGUG